UACGUAGGGACCAAGCGUUGUCCGGAAUCAUUGGGCGUAAAGAGCGUGUAGGCGGCUUGUUAAGUCUUGCGUGAAAUCUCGGGGCUCAACCCCGAGCGGUCGUGAGAAACUGGCAGGCUAGAGUGCGGGAGAGGAGAGUGAAAUUCCUGGUGUAGCGGUGAAAUGCGCAGAUAUCAGGAGGAACACCGGUGGCGAAGGCGGGUCUCUGGGCCGAUACUGACGCUGAGGAGCGAAAGCGUGGGGAGCGAACAGG
rnacentral:rRNA from 1 species